rnacentral:rRNA from 1 species
UAGGGAAUAUUGGGCAAUGGAUGGAAGUCUGACCCAGCCAUCCCGCGUGCCGGAAGACGGCCCUCAGGGUUGUAAACGGCUUUUGACGGUGAAGAAUAGGCGGGAUGCGUCCUGUUUUGACGGUAGCCGUUGAAUAAGCACCGGCUAACUCCGUG